rnacentral:lncRNA from 1 species
GAUAAAAGUCUAAUUACGUAUUAUUCCCAAUGUCAGGCCUUGCGUUCAGACCCCAAGUUCAAACAAUAGCGAAGCUCCAAACCUGGGUUCAAAAACCCAAACCUCAUCAUAAACGUUGGGCCUGCAAUAGCCCAAGUCGAAAUAGCUGAACAAACACGUAUAAAGCAGCGGCUGAUCGAGUCUGGAGUCGCACAACCCAACAAUUAUUAAAGCAAUUGCCUAUUGAAUUAUCCCAAGCCCUCAUAUUUUGUAGUAAAAGAAUUCAGCAUGCCUUUAGUCCAAUUACAGUGGUGUUAACCCCAAAUUCACGCCCAAAUCACUACUGAAAACAUAAUGCCCAAAGUAUGCUAGUUAUUUUGAAUUAAAUCAAACCUACAUUCCUAGAUCCAUACACAAACUGAUUCAUGAUUUAAAACUGAAGUGGUUCAAUUAGCAAUUAACAUGAACCACUUACUAAGUUAAAACUGAUUAUAUUCUAUAACUAUGAUGCCUAAAACAUGAUCACAUUAAACUGCUCAACAGUUAUACUGCAUAAACUAGUCAUGUUACCUAAUUGAUAUCAAACACUUCAUACAAAUUACUGAAACUCAGGAAAUCAACCGAGAUAUUGAAGCUAUUUCACUAAUUCCACAUGAAACCAGUUAUAAUUAAUAAUCAACCUAGAACUUGUGGUUUUUUUUCUAAAUAUACCCAUGCACGCCUAAUAAAUCAAACAAGCAGAAUCAUGAUUCACAGUUUAUUAGUCCAACUUAUACAACCCAGGAUCAAUAUUAAUACAUAAAUUUCAUGCAAUAUCAAGUAAGCUAGCUAAUUUCACAUUAAAAUUGAAUCAAGGAUAAAUCUCAGAGAUCAACUUCAAACAGCAGUUUUACUUCAUUUCAUAGCGUGAGGGCUAAGCACAUGUACUUGGAGUUUGAAAUAUAAUAAUAAGAAGAAAUGAUCAGCCACAGCAGUGUAAUAGUGACAACAACACAAAGAUUUCAGCAGAUUUGCAUAACCAACAACCCAGGAGCAAAUUUAAACAAAUGGGAGGAGUUUGAAACUCAACAGCACCAGAAAACUCAACCCAAACAUCCUGAAUGAAUUCAGAAAAUCUAGAAUUCGAGACCAGAAAUGAUCUAUCACACCAGGAGGAUUUUGAGAUCAAAUAACACCCCAAAUCAAACACAAGUGACCCCAGAACAAACUUAGGAAGUUUCAGCAAUCAGAAGGACAUCGAGAUCAACCAGUAGCAGACAGAAACCACCACCCAACACUUGAAUAAACCUGAACUCUAGCUAGGAUUUUAAUGAAACAGUAACUGCAUGUUUUUGGAUUUUCUUGAUAUUUCUACUAUUUUUGAGAUAUUUUUUUAAUUUGAAGGACUAAAUUUAAAACUAAAAUGAAGAGCAAAUGGAUUUCUGCAGGAAUUUCAGAGCUGGAAGUUGAACCCCUUUUACAAGGCAGUUAAUGCCCUUAUAUAGGCAAAGAAGAAAGAAAAAUCAUCAAAAAGAGUUUUCAAAUCCGUCCCUCUUUCUUUUUAUUUUAAACCUUCUAAUUCAUACUUGCUACCCAAGUAAGUACUAUUAAAAAGCUGAAAGCUACACUUUUACCAUAUUCUAGAAGCAUCUAGGAUGCUCUUUUGUCUAAGCAAUUCCUAAACUACCCCUCCCUUGUUUUGAAUUUACUAUUUCUAAAGAUGCUGCCAUUUUUCAGCCCUAAAAUACCCUUUUAACAGUCUAAAAAUUACAGCUUAACCUUGCUGAACCCAAUCCCUUACCCCAGUUAGAGUUGUAACCCAAGUUAAUAGACAAAAAGACUUCCUCAGCUAUAACCAAUUCCACUAUCCUAACCUACCUUAUUCAGCACUAAAUUGAAUCACAAACUGAUUAAUCAAAAUGAACUGUAAUUAAACCAAAACGAAACCCAAGUCCAAACUUCAUACAAGCGGAAAAAGGAAACCAAAUUACUCUGCCGACCAAUUAGUAGUCAACAAAUGAGCAUUCAAACGAUCAAAAAUUGAAUCAGAAUUUGAACAAAGAGAUGAAAAUCAACCUAAAACAAGCUAACCUAAACACUGAUAACAAAUCAUAGAAGGAGAAUUGAUGCUAAAACUUAAUUAAAAACUAAAACUAUGCCUAAUUGAAUAAACAAAGCAAAUUAACUAAAAACAGAAAUCAAAGAACGGAAAGAUAUAAAACUUACUGCCAAUUAGUUCUUCAAACAAAACCUUCGAAAUUAACUUCGAGUUAAUGUUAUAGGUCCAUCCCAUGGGAGAUAAACUCAUAACAUUAACCUGACUUAACUCGUCUUGACAAAUAAACAGGAUAGUCCGAAAGUGCAUGAACCCUAGAUGUGGAAUUAAGGACGGCCGGGUGAGAUUCAAGGGAUUUUGACUUGAGAUUCCAAGUGAGGAAAGUCAGGAGGCUAUAUGGUACCGAUUUGGGCUCAUUUGGACGAUUUUAUGUUUUGGCCGGAUUUUUGAUUUGAUAUUCGAAGAAUAUGGCUUUGAUUCGCGAGAAACCAUUAGCAUGUAUGGAAAGAGGAGAUUGAGGAUAACGAGGGGUGUAAGGUUGGGAGUGUUUGGCAUCGGCGCCGCCACCGUCGGCUUAACGUUUAGAGGCGGCACCAUUAGGGUUUGUGAGAGGAGUAGUGGGGGUGAGGAAGAC